GUGCUUGAUUCCAUAGCACAUAUACCAAAAUUGGAAAGAUACAGAGAAGAUUAGCAUGGCCCCUGCAUAAGGAUGACACACAAAUUUGUGAAGCAUUCCAUAUUUUU
ensembl:snRNA U6 U6 spliceosomal RNA